GAUGAACGCUGGCGGCGUGCCUAAUACAUGCAAGUCGAGCGAACAGACGAGGAGCUUGCUCCUCUGACGUUAGCGGCGGACGGGUGAGUAACACGUGGAUAACCUACCUAUAAGACUGGGAUAACUUCGGGAAACCGGAGCUAAUACCGGAUAAUAUAUUGAACCGCAUGGUUCAAUAGUGAAAGACGGUUUUGCUGUCACUUAUAGAUGGAUCCGCGCCGCAUUAGCUAGUUGGUAAGGUAACGGCUUACCAAGGCGACGAUGCGUAGCCGACCUGAGAGAGUGAUCGGCCACACUGGAACUGAGACACGGUCCAGACGCCUACGGGAGGCAGCAGUAGGGAAUCUUCCGCAAUGGGCGAAAGCCUGACGGAGCAACGCCGCGUGAGUGAUGGAGGUCUUCGGAUCGUAAAACUCUGUUAUUAGGGAAGAACAAAUGUGUAAGUAACUAUGCACGUCUUGACGGUACCUAAUCAGAAAGCCACGGCUAACUACGUG
rnacentral:rRNA from 1 species